rnacentral:rRNA from 1 species
AUUGAACGCUGGCGGCAGGCCUAACACAUGCAAGUCGAACGAGUGGCGGACGGGUGAGUAAUGUCUGGGAAACUGCCCGAUGGAGGGGGAUAACUACUGGAAACGGUAGCUAAUCCCGCAUACCAUCGGAUGUGCCCAGAUGGGGUUAGCUAGUAGGUGGGGUAAGGGCUCACCUAGGCGACGAUCCCUAGCUGGUCUGAGAGGAUGACAAGACAAACUGGAACGGAGACACGGUCCAGACUCCUACGGGAGGCAGCAGUGGGGAAUAUUGCACAAUGGGCGCAAGCCGGAUGCAGCCAUGACGCGUGUAUGAAGAAGGCCGUCGGGUUGUAAAGUACUUGCAGCGGGGAGGCGGUACCAGAAGAAGAAGCACCGGCUAACUCCGUGCCAGCAGCCGCGGUAAUAC